UACGAAGGUGGCAAGCGUUGUUCGGAUUUACUGGGCGUACAGGGAGCGUAGGCGGUUCGGUAAGCCCUCUGUGAAAUCUCCAGGCUUAACCUGGAACAGUCGGAGGGGACUGCUGGGCUAGAGGACGGGAGAGGGAUGUGGAAUUCCAGGUGUAGCGGUGAAAUGCGUAGAUAUCUGGAGGAACACCGGUGGCGAAGGCGGCAUCCUGGACCGGUAUUGACGCUGAUGCGCGAAAGCCAGGGGAGCAAACGGG
rnacentral:rRNA from 1 species